rnacentral:tRNA from 2 species
GGGCGGUUAGCUCAGUCGGUUAGAGCGCCACGUUGACAUCGUGGAGGUCACUAGUUCGAGUCUAGUACCGCCCACCA